rnacentral:rRNA from 1 species
GGGUUAGUCGGGUCCUAAGCUGAGGCCGACAGGCGUAGGCGAUGGAUAACAGGUUGAUAUUCCUGUACCACCUAUAAUCGUUUUAAUCGAUGGGGGGACGCAGUAGGAUAGGCGAAGCGUGCGAUUGGAUUGCACGUCUAAGCAGUAAGGCUGAGUAUUAGGCAAAUCCGGUACUCGUUAAGGCUGAGCUGUGAUGGGGAGAAGACAUUGUGUCUUCGAGUCGUUGAUUUCACACUGCCGAGAAAAGCCUCUAGAUAGAAAAUAGGUGCCCGUACCGCAAACCGACACAGGUAGUCAAGAUGAGAAUUCUAAGGUGAGCGAGCGAACUCUCGUUAAGGAACUCGGCAAAAUGACCCCGUAACUUCGGGAGAAGGGGUGCUCUUUAGGGUUAACGCCCAGAAGAGCCGCAGUGAAUAGGCCACCGCCCAAGCCGCGUUGCGCAGCAGCCAAAGCGCCCUGGCCGCCGCCCAGGCCCAGUUGGCCAAUGCCCGCGAGCAACUGGGCUACACCGCGCUGGUUGCUGAAGCGCCGGGGGUAAUUACCGCGCGCCAGGCGGAGGUCGGCCAGGUGGUACAGGCCACCGUGCCAAUCUUCAGCCUGGCCCGCGAUGGCGAACGCGACGCGGUGUUCGAUGUGUACGAAUCGCUGCUGGUGGAACCGGCCAACGAUGACGUGAUGACGGUCAAAUUGCUGGAUAAACCCCAGGUGCCGGCCCACGGCAAAAUCCGCGAGACCACCCCGGCAGUGAACGCCGCCAGCGGUACGUUGCAGGUGAAGAUCGCCUUGAAUACCUUGCCCGCCGGCAUGGACCUGGGCGCGGUGGUCAGCACCACACUGCAUGCC